rnacentral:rRNA from 1 species
AUUGAACGCUGGCGGCAGGCUUAACACAUGCAAGUCGAGCGGGGUGAAGUGCUUCGGUACUGAUCCUAGCGGCGGACGGGUGAGUAAUGCUUAGGAAUCUGCCAUUUAGUGGGGGACAACAUUCCGAAAGGAAUGCUAAUACCGCAUACGUCCUACGGGAGAAGGCAGGGGAUCUUCGGACCUUGCGCUAAAUGAUGAGCCUAAGUCAGAUUAGCUAGGUGGUGGGGUAAAGGCCUACCAAGGCGACGAUCUGUAGCGGGUCUGAGAGGAUGAUCCGCCACACUGGGACUGAGACACGGCCCAGACUCCUACGGGAGGCAGCAGUGGGGAAUAUUGGACAAUGGGCGGAAGCCUGAUCCAGCCAUGCCGCGUGUGUGAAGAAGGCCUUUUGGUUGUAAAGCACUUUAAGCGAGGAGGAGGCUACCUGGAUUAAUACUCUGGGAUAGUGGACGUUACUCGCAGAAUAAGCACCGGCUAACUCUGUGCCAGCAGCCGCAGUAA